rnacentral:rRNA from 1 species
UACGUAGGGGGCAAGCGUUGUCCGGAUUUAUUGGGCGUAAAGAGCGUGUAGGCGGCUUUACAGGUCCGUUGUGAAAACUCGAGGCUCAACCUCGAGACGCCGGUGGAAACCGUAAAGCUAGAGUCCGGAAGAGGAGAGUGGAAUUCCUGGUGUAGCGGUGAAAUGCGCAGAUAUCAGGAGGAACACCGGUGGCGAAGGCGGUUCUCUGGGCAUUACCUGACGCUGAGGAGCGAAAAGUGUGGGGAGCGAACAGG